rnacentral:rRNA from 1 species
CAGUCGCCACGGUAAUACGAAGGGGGCUAGCGUUGUUCGGAUUAACUGGGCGUAAAGGGCGCGUAGGCGGGUUUUUAAGUCAGAGGUGAAAUCCCAAGGCUCAACCUUGGAACUGCCUUUGAUACUGGAAAUCUUGAGUCCGGGAGAGGUGAGUGGAACUGCGAGUGUAGAGGUGAAAUUCGUAGAUAUUCGCAAGAACACCAGUGGCGAAGGCGGCUCACUGGCCCGGUACUGACGCUGAGGCGCGAAAGCGUGGGGAGCAAACAGGAUUAGAGACCCCCGUAGUCCCUGUCUCUUAUAC